AUUGAACGCUGGCGGCAUGCCUUACACAUGCAAGUCGAACGGCAGCGCGGGGCAACCUGGCGGCGAGUGGCGAACGGGUGAGUAAUAUAUCGGAACGUACCCUGGAGUGGGGGAUAACGUAGCGAAAGUUACGCUAAUACCGCAUACGAUCUAAGGAUGAAAGUGGGGGCUUCGCAAGAACCUCAUGCUCCUGGAGCGGCCGAUAUCUGAUUAGCUAGUUGGUAGGGUAAAAGCCUACCAAGGCAUCGAUCAGUAGCUGGUCUGAGAGGACGAUCAGCCACACUGGAACUGAGACACGGUCCAGACUCCUACGGGAGGCAGCAGUGGGGAAUUUUGGACAAUGGGCGCAAGCCUGAUCCAGCAAUGCCGCGUGAGUGAAGAAGGCCUUCGGGUUGUAAAGCUCUUUUGUCAGGGAAGAAACGGUAGAGGCUAAUAUCCUCUGCUAAUGACGGUACCUGAAGAAUAAGCACCGGCUAACUACGUGCCAGCAGCCGCGGUAAUACGUAGGGUGCAAGCGUUAAUCGGAAUUACUGGGCGUAAAGCGUGCGCAGGCGGUUUUGUAGGUUUGUCGUGAAAUCCCCGGGCUUAACCUGGGAAUUGCGAUGAAGACUGCAAGGCUAGAAUCUGGCAGAGGGGGGUAGAAUUCCACGUGUAGCAGUGAAAUGCGUAGAGAUGUGGAGGAACACCGAUGGCGAAGGCAGCCCCCUGGGUCAAGAUUGACGCUCAUGCACGAAAGCGUGGGGAGCAAACAGGAUUAGAUACCCUGGUAGUCCACGCCCUAAACGAUGUCUACUAGUUGUCGGGUUUUCAUUAACUUGGUAACGCAGCUAACGCGUGAAGUAGACCGCCUGGGGAGUACGGUCGCAAGAUUAAAACUCAAAGGGAUUGACGGGGACCCGCACAAGCGGUGGAUGAUGUGGAUUAAUUCGAUGCAACGCGAAAAACCUUACCUACCCUUGACAUGUACGGAAGCCUUGAGAGAUCAGGGUGUGCUCGAAAGAGAGCCGUAACACAGGUGCUGCAUGGCUGUCGUCAGCUCGUGUCGUGAGAUGUUGGGUUAAGUCCCGCAACGAGCGCAACCCUUGUCAUUAGUUGCUACAUUUAGUUGAGCACUCUAAUGAGACUGCCGGUGACAAACCGGAGGAAGGUGGGGAUGACGUCAAGUCCUCAUGGCCCUUAUGGGUAGGGCUUCACACGUCAUACAAUGGUACAUACAGAGGGCCGCCAACCCGCGAGGGGGAGCUAAUCCCAGAAAGUGUAUCGUAGUCCGGAUUGUAGUCUGCAACUCGACUACAUGAAGUUGGAAUCGCUAGUAAUCGCGGAUCAGCAUGUCGCGGUGAAUACGUUCCCGGGUCU
rnacentral:rRNA from 1 species